UAUUUUCUCCGUAAAACAUGUCAUCAUCAUCUACGUACUAUGUUACAAGUUAUAACCAUAUCUUUCGAUCAUUGCACUUAAUACAAUAAAAAGAAGAAAGCAACUGUUGCUUGCUGGAGGCUGGGGAGAUCCAGGAUAAGGAAUUUCCUGCAAAAGCUAUUUUAAGUUUUAUACUAUAAUACGACUAUACAGAGCAUGAUGCUGGGUAGAGCAGAAUUUGAGAAUUUCUAGCUCUCCGAUCCGUUGGUUAACCACAUACAGAGAUCAAGCAUUAUACUUGGCUAGCCAAUGAUAGAUACGUAUCGCACUAGUGUUUUGUUGUCCACUCCCCUUGAAGUAACAGAUAUCCUAUCCCCGGAUACAAAUUAAAGUGUUUUGGACUUUAGCGGCUUCACAGCACAGAAUUAUCAAUAAUUGAACAAGCUCUCAUUGCCUAUUUUUCAGGAGAGCAGUACAUGGUUCAUUGUUCGACAAGUGUCCAGUCUCUAUAAUCAACAUGUGGCACAGUAAAAGGAUAAAGGCAUCAAGGUAAAUAAAAGUUGUUUAGAUGUCAAAUUUAAGUUGUGUUUGUGUACAUGUAAAUUGAAUGACAAAACUCUAAUAUCCACAUUUGUUAGCGGCCAUUGUAUUUCAAAAUUUAAAAACCCAUUCUCUUCCUUCAUCGGAUCUCUCUCCAUCCGUCUGUCGAUAUCGAAACUCUGCACUGUCACCGGAGCAAACACAGAAACUUUGCUCGCGAUGCAAAUAGAGGAACCGUCGGUGGAGACUUUUCAUCUGUUUACGAAAAUUGAAGCUCGAUCCGUUCGCAGUUACUCAGCAUGGAUGGCUGUCGCUGGCAGUGUUACAGAAAUAUGGUCUCUAAGCGCAUCUUGAAGGAGCUCAAAGAUUUGCAGAAGGACCCUCCUACAUCGUGCAAAAUGGGAAGAACUAUCAGUAAAGUGAUUGGAAUUUUUGGAGUCCCCACAUGCUAUCUAUCUGAAGGCUAAACUUGAAGAAGCUAUCUUGGGACACAACCUGUUUGAUGAAAAGAUAGAAGAGUCAAAGAAGAUCAAUGAAGCAAUUGAAGGAAAUAAUAACAAAGAAGUUAAAAAGAAAGGUGCUGAUAAGGAGGGUGUGGAACCAGUGAAGGAACAAGAGGAAAAAAAAACAAUCGAAGCAGAGUCGAAGAAAAAGUGUUAGAGUGGAGAAGGAUGUGUCUCUUUAUGGAAUACCACUUCUGCUAAGCAAAGGAGAUGAAGGCAGGGAUAUAGUUUUUCUCAAGUUUCUGAGGGCGAGGGAGUUCAAGGUCAGUGAUGAAGAGGUCAAUUUAUACUUUUUUUUUCUUUAUAAAUAGUAGUUCAUAAAUAAUCUACUUUAAAUUAGAAGUUACUAAAAAAAUAGAAUAAAAAAAUUUACUUUAAAUAUUAUA